rnacentral:rRNA from 1 species
CAGUAGCCGCGGGAAUACGAAGGGUGCAAGCGUUACUCGGAAUUACUGGGCGUAAAGCGUGCGUGGGUGGUGGUUUAAGUCCGUUGUGAAAGCCCUGGGCUCAACCUGGGAAUUGCAGUGGAUACUGGGUCACUAGAGUGUGGUAGAGGAUAGUGGAAUUUCCGGUGUAGCAGUGAAAUGCGUAGAGAUCGGAAGGAACAUCUGUGGCGAAGGCGACUAUCUGGGCCAACACUGACACUGAGGCACGAAAGCGUGGGGAGCAAACAGGAUUAGAUACCCCCGUAGUCCCUGUCUCUUAUAC